CUUGGCUGAUCUUCAAUGCGUGCUAAUAUAUUUAGAUUCCGGAAGAAUAUUUUUUAAAGAUACUCCCAGUAGAUGUUGAUUUAUCGGAUGUACCUGCAUGCCAGGUAUUCGAGGAUGUCGUAUAAGUAGAUGCAUGAACGACAAGGAACCAAGAGACUUUACCAUUAGCUAAAUAUGGCUAAUUAGACAAAUUUGGAAAACAUAAAGGUAAUAAUUUCAAGGAAUGGAAUUGGCACGUGAUAGUGAAACAUUAUUUAAAGGAUCGUUAAUUCAAUGUAAUAAUAGUUUUCCUCGACGAAAACUCAAAAAGGUUACAGUGACUCUUAGAGAAUGUCAUCGUUCCAAACCACGGUCAAAAUAUACGGGUAGAAGAGAGCUAUAUGCAGACUCCGAACCGAUUAGAGAAUACAAUUAUGCCUGUAAGUAUUUCUUAAGUAAAAACAUUUAAAUAGCUAUGAAAAAAGUAGAGGCCGAAGAGCUAAAAUAAUAUAUAUAGAUUUUUCUUCCUCUAGUUUAUUGUUCCCCCGCUGAAAGUGGGGAUAUUAAUUUUGGUAUUACUGUAUGUCUGUCUGGCUGCCUUUCUGUCCGUUGGACGGACGUCUAGCUGUAUUGCUGCUGUCUGUUACACUUUCCUUUCCACGCGAUAUCUCGAGAUGCUUUCAGCCUUUGCCAUGAAAUUUUACAUGAUAACUCCCUAUGGCAUAAAGAAGUCGCCAUUUGAUUUUGA